UGGCAUCUUUAGUAAACCCCCCAGUUGCGAUCUGUGACCUCUGGGACAAGAAAAGGUGCAAGAGCAAUCUUAGAACAUCCAAAACUGAGAGCCACGUCUGACGCUCUUAGUUAUUUCACCUCUAAGACAAAA